rnacentral:rRNA from 1 species
GACGAACGCUGGCGGCGUGCUUAACACAUGCAAGUCGAACGGAAAGGCCCUGCUUUUGUGGGGUGCUCGAGUGGCGAACGGGUGAGUAACACGUGAGUAACCUGCCCUUGACUUUGGGAUAACUUCAGGAAACUGGGGCUAAUACCGGAUAGGAGCUCCUGCUGCAUGGUGGGGGUUGGAAAGUUUCGGCGGUUGGGGAUGGACUCGCGGCUUUCAGCUUGUUGGUGGGGUAGUGGCUUACCAAGGCUUUGACGGGUAGCCGGCCUGAGAGGGUGACCGGCCACAUUGGGACUGAGAUACGGCCCAGACUCCUACGGGAGGCAGCAGUGGGGAAUAUUGCACAAUGGGCGGAAGCCUGAUGCAGCAACGCCGCGUGCGGGAUGACGGCCUUCGGGUGGCAAACCGCUUUCGCCUGUGACGAAGCGUGAGUGACGGUAAUGGGUAAAGAAGCACCGGCUACUACGUG